AUACAAUCUGUCUUCUUCAAGGCAGAUAUGUGCAGGUGAACGGAGUGAAUACCACACUUCCUCACAGCCGAGAAAGUGGCAAGAUUGAGAUCAGUCUGACCGGAAUGUUUGUCUGCGUGGAGUUGGUGGAAUUGUGCGUGGCGAUCUACUACGAUGGGGUACAUUAUGUUAAGGUGGAGAUUCCAAGUAACUACCAGAAUAAACUGUGUGGACUCUGCAAUAACUUCGACGGUGUAGAGGACAGUGCCUAUGUGAUGUCGGGCGGGGGCACC